GACGCAUAGACAUGCUGACGAUCAUGGCCAUGCGCUGGAACCAACAAAAGUUUGACAACUUGGCUUCUACCCUUGCCCGCCGAUAUCGGAAGGCCACAAUAGCCCUGCAAUGCCAGUUGCAUAACCUGGAGGCCAUGAAAACGGAAAUGGACGUCUCAGACAAUCAACUGGAGAGGUGGAUCAUUGAUAUCAAUGAGUGGGCAGAAGCAACAACAUCCCGAAAUGAUGCUGAUGUUGCCGCUGUUGCCAGCCGAAUUGAGGAGCUGGUGGCAAGUGUUAAGAGGAGGUCCCAGCGUCUUUACAAGGAUAGUGACGGAUGCAAAGGACGUGCCCGAAUCCGCCGAAAGAUCAGGGAGGAAAAAAAAAUCUUAAAUUCUGUAGUGGAAAAGUAUAACACCUUGGUUCCUAAUGCAGAAAAACUGACAUUGGACACCAUUCUAUCUGAUGAGAUUGUUUGGCCAUGGCAGCUUACACACGGUGACUCUGUAGAUCUAAGGACAAAGAGGAAGGCGUUCGACAUUGUGAUGGCAGUAAGGAGACUUGAGGAGGAGAAGAGGAUUCUUAUUGCAGAGAUGAACAAGCAUUGGAAGUCUCUUUGCUCCCGUGCAGACACCCUGAAGCAGAUGUCAUCCCAGCUUUCUAAUGUGACAUCAGGUGAGACGUGGGGCCUGCUUCAAGAUGGUAUCCGAGGUCUACAGAGCUUGACGAUGAAGAACAAGCAAGCAAGCAACAGCCUGGCAAAGCAUGCAAAGAAAUAUUAUGUUCAAGUUCUGACUGAAACAGAAAUUAACUUUGAUAGUGAUUCUGAGGAAUACCAUACCAGUAGUGACUCUGAGCAAGAUUAAACAUGGCCAGAGUCCUUUUUUAUGCUGUUGUGUGCUGGGGAGGCAGCAUUAAGAAGAGGGCCGCUGGGACAGGGCAUACCAGCAACUCAAUGUCACAGAAAAGGUUAGGGGAGAAAUGGACUUUUCAGCAUGAGUCUCACCCUGCGCCAACCAUUACAUCGCUUUGUCUAUUGUCUAGUAUCCACUAUCCAUUUGACUGUCUUACAGGCUACAUUAGCCCCUCUACACAUUCUGGACUGUGGUUUCAACAUUUACCCCUGUUGGCUUGUAUAAUCUUUUCUCUUUUUUAUAUAUAUAUAUUUAAGUUUCUGUUUUUCUAUCUAUUUUAACUUCCUUGUAUUGUUUUUGUUAAGCAAUACUAUUAUGCUCAGACUCUUUUUUCCAUAGUCAUAUUAAACAUGCACAGCUUUGCACUGAUUAAAUCCCUGCACUGUUUACUUUUGCACUACCACCACUGCAAAUCACUCUAUAGCUGCCCAUCAUGUAUCACAGGGUCAGUCCCUACCAGGCCUUUGUAAUCACUUGACAUGCUCUUCACUUUUUACAUUUGUGAUUUUUGUUAUGUGUCUGAGCUGUGUGUUGUUUUUGUGGUUGUAUAAGCUAAUAAAUGCCUAAAAUGUGGUGUGUCGUCUUAAGUAGCCUACAGUGUCUGUACUAGGGGGAAGAAGACA
ensembl:lncRNA